UGGGGAAUAUUGCACAAUGGGCGCAAGCCUGAUGCAGCCAUGCCGCGUGUGUGAAGAAGGCCUUCGGGUUGUAAAGCACUUUCAGCGAGGAGGAAGGGUUCAGUGUUAAUAGCACUGUUCAUUGACGUUACUCGCAGAAGAAGCACCGGCUAACUCCGUGCCAGCAGCCGCGGUAAUACGGAGGGUGCAAGCGUUAAUCGGAAUUACUGGGCGUAAAGCGCACGCAGGCGGUUUGUUAAGUCAGAUGUGAAAUCCCGCGCUAACGUGGGAACU
rnacentral:rRNA from 1 species